AGCGCGCUGCGCCCGGAGAGUCUUGCAAAACUUCCAACAUAUUAUUGUAUUGUGUAAUUUGUGUACACAAAUUUUGGCGGGCUAUGGUGUGUCCAAUGGUGUCAAUGAUUCUGCUUGGAAUCUGUUCCAAGUGGCUGAAACGAGACCUCACGAAUGGGAUUGAACGAUUCCAACAUGUAUGGAUUUGUUAGCAAAACAUUGGUUAGGUUAGCAGUUGUCAGAAAUAAAAAUUCAAUUUUUAAGUGAUCCAGAAUUAAUAUUCCAACACUGUGCUCGUAAAACUGUAAAUUAUGAGGAUUCAAAUUUUAAUGUUGGUAUGCCAAUAUUUUCCAUUCAUAAGAAUCAUGAUCAUCCAGGCUUUGGAGCAAUUUGAUCAAUGAACCUAUUAUCCGUUUCUGGUCAUAUAAAUUAUUUUGGAAAAUGGACAGAUCUCACUCAAAUUAUCAUUUCUCCAUUGGUAAUGAAAAAAGGUAAUACCCAUGUUGUACUUUAUAGAGCUCAGGGAUUUUAAGGUGAACUCAUGAGACAUGUCCAUGUAUUGGAAGAUCUUUUCUUUUUCUCAAUGCAAAUGAUUUUUACUCAAAGGUGGAUAUGUCAUGUCCAAAACAUAUAUCAGAUUGCUUUAAUCUGUUUGUUUACACCAAAAUUGUGCACCACAUCGUGCACAUAUUUCUGAAGCCCCGGCAAGGGAUUAUCGUCUGACGAUAUUAGUGAUGAUCUCCAGAAUGUGGCUGACAUUUUCGGCUACACUGAGAUAAUAUUUCAACAUUAUAUGUAUCACAUAAAAGAAAAUUCAUCGUGGCGCCACGGACAAUUUCUGUAAAACCGGCAUGGCAUUCAACGUAUUAACAGCACUAACAAUGGAUGAACUAAAUGAAGCAGCAAAUCAAUUUAUUAACGAAGAUGGUAAUGCUUUCAAAACUUUAGUAAGCUAUCAAAUGGAAAAAAUUAUGUCACAUUUGGAAACUACUGAAGCUAAUACUGUUGAAAGUAUUAGAAAAGAAAUUAAAAAUUUUUGUGGUAGAAGGAAGGAGAACACAUAAGAAGACGCUACAAAACCGAGAACAAUUACAAACGAGAAACUAUUUUAAAAUAAUAUACUAUUAGAUCUCACAGGUUGAAUAAUCAUUUUGUAGAUACAAACAUUAUUUUCUAAUAGACCGGUAAGAGGGAUAUCAACUAAGAGGUGGUCUACUACAAUUACAAAACAAACAAAAACGCAGGAUCAAACAUUGGGCGAUUUCGUAAUAAGAGAUAUUCUUUUUAGACUUUCUGCUUCCUGCUGUAUAAUGACGGGGAAUGCUUGGUAAAUAGAACUUACAGAUUCUUUAUUAAAAAGAAGUUAAUGUUGUGCGAAAAAUAAUGACUCAAUUAAACACAAGGGAUAUAUUUACAAAAGUAGUAUCUUAGUAUUUAUUGGCUUAUUGGGUGUUCCAUUACCGAGGACUCUUACACAUGAUACUACAAGUCAACUGUCUGAUUUUGAUAAAAAGGACCCGCCAAGUCCACCUUAGGUAUAAUUUUUCUGGUUUUUCAAAGUAUCCGUUAUACAGGGUGUCCCAAAAAUCUCUCGCAUUACGGAAAUGUAGGGUAGCUGAGAUCAUUCUUUUU